rnacentral:lncRNA from 1 species
GUUAUAGCGAAAAAAUGAAAUAUUGAAAUUUUUAAAAAACCUGCAUGGAGUUUCGGACAAUAUAUUGUGAAAAUAUUGAGGAAUACAAAGGGUUAAAUUGUCUUUGCUAUUUUGGAGAUAUUGAAAUAAGCCAUAUUUUUCCUCUCCAACUGAUUGUUGGACUUGAAGUAAUCCCCUAUCACCAAUCUAUCUUCGCAGAUAGAGCAUAUCAACAUCGCUUUUGGGUGGAGGGCAUGGUUGAAUGUCAAGAUCUUUCGGAUCUUUCUAUCUAGGGCUUCAAGUUCAGCUUGGCUCCAAUUGAUUAUUCCAGCUAUGUAUCUGAUUAUAGGAAUUGCUCAUGCAUU